GAUGAACGCUGGCGGCGUGCUUAACACAUGCAAGUCGAACAGUGAAGGCGGAGCUUGCUCUGCUGGAUCAGUGGCGAACGGGUGAGUAACACGUGAGCAAUCUGCCCCUGACUCUGGGAUAAGCGCUGGAAACGGCGUCUAAUACUGGAUACGAGCUGCGAAGGCAUCUUCAGCAGCUGGAAAGAAUUUCGGUCAGGGAUGAGCUCGCGGCCUAUCAGCUUGUUGGUGAGGUAAUGGCUCACCAAGGCGUCGACGGGUAGCCGGCCUGAGAGGGUGACCGGCCACACUGGGACUGAGACACGGCCCAGACUCCUACGGGAGGCAGCAGUGGGGAAUAUUGCACAAUGGGCGAAAGCCUGAUGCAGCAACGCCGCGUGAGGGACGACGGCCUUCGGGUUGUAAACCUCUUUUAGCAGGGAAGAAGCGAAAGUGACGGUACCUGCAGAAAAAGCGCCGGCUAACUACGUG
rnacentral:rRNA from 1 species